rnacentral:tRNA from 1 species
GCGGAUGUGGCGAAAUGGCAGACGCGUCAGCUUUAGGAGCUGGUGGGGCAACCCGUGGAGGUUCGAGUCCUCUCAUCCGCACCC